CCUACGGGAGGCAGCAGUGGGGAAUAUUGGACGAUGGGGGCAACCCUGAUCCAGCCAUGCCGCGUGUGUGGAGAAGGCUUUCGGGUUGUAAAGCACUUUCAGUGGGGAAGAAGGCCUGAGGGUUAAUAACCCUGAGGGAGGACAUCACCCACAGAAGAAGCACCGGCUAACUCCGUGCCAGCAGCCGCGGUAAUACGGAGGGUGCGAGCGUUAAUCGGAAUUACUGGGCGUAAAGCGCGCGUAGGUGGCUUGAUAAGCCGGUUGUGAAAGCCCCGGGCUCAACCUGGGAACGGCAUCCGGAACUGUCAGGCUAGAGUGCAGGAGAGGAAGGUAGAAUUCCCGGUGUAGCGGUGAAAUGCGUAGAGAUCGGGAGGAAUACCAGUGGCGAAGGCGGCCUUCUGGACUGACACUGACACUGAGGUGCGAAAGCGUGGGUAGCAAACAGGAUUAGAUACCCUGGUAGUCCACGCCGUAAACGAUGUCGACCAGCCGUUGGGUUCCUCGAGGACUUAGUGGCGCAGUUAACGCGAUAAGUCGACCGCCUGGGGAGUACGGCCGCAAGGUUAAAACUCAAAUGAAUUGACGGGGGCCCGCACAAGCGGUGGAGCAUGUGGUUUAAUUCGAUGCAACGCGAAGAACCUUAC
rnacentral:rRNA from 1 species